UACGGAGGGUGCAAGCGUUAUCCGGAUUCACUGGGUUUAAAGGGUGCGUAGGCGGUUAAGUAAGUCCGUGGUGAAAUCUCUGAGCUUAACUCAGAAACUGCCGUGGAUACUAUUUGCCUUGAAUAUUGUGGAGGUGAGCGGAAUAUGUCAUGUAGCGGUGAAAUGCUUAGAUAUGACAUAGAACACCAAUUGCGAAGGCAGCUCACUACACAAUCAUUGACGCUGAGGCACGAAAGCGUGGGGAUCAAACGGG
rnacentral:rRNA from 1 species